GCUUAAAGGGGCCGUAGCUUGAUAAUAGGGUCCCUUGAGAAAUCCGCCGGCUUAACUGGCGGGCGUUCAGGGGAAACUUGUUUUCUAGGGACCGGGAGAGGUGAGGGGUACUGCCGGGGUAGGAGUGAAAUCCUGUAAUCCCGGUGGGACCACCUAUGGCGAAGGCAUCUCACCAGAACGGGUCCGACAGUGAGGGACGAAAGCUGGGGGAGCAAACCGGAUUAGAUACCCGGGUAGUCCCAGCUGUAAACUAUGUGCGUUAGGUGUGUCAGUGACCACGUGUCACUGAGGUGCCGAAGGGAAACCGUGAAACGCACCGCCUGGGGAGUACGGUCGCAAGGCUGAAACUUAAAGGAAUUGGCGGGGGAGCACCACAACGGGUGGAGCCUGCGGUUUAAUCGGACUCAACGCCGGGAAUCUCACCGGAUAAGACAGCUGAAUGAUAGUCGGGAUGAAGACUCUACUUGACUAGCUGAGAGGAGGUGCAUGGCCGUCGUCAGUUCGUACUGUGAAGCAUCCUGUUUAGUCAGGCAACGAGCGAGACCCACGCGAGCAGUUGCCAGCUUGACCUUCGGGUUGAUGGGGACACUGCUCGGACCGCCUCUGCUAAAGGGGAGGAAGGACUGGGCAACGGUAGGUCAGCAUGCCCCGAAUUAUCCGGGCUACACGCGGGCUACAAUGGACAGGACAAUGAGUUUCGACACCGAGAGGUGAGGAUAAUCUUCUAACCCUGUCCCAAGUUCGGAUUGCGGGUUGUAACUCACCCGCAUGAAGCUGGAAUCCGUAGUAAUCGCGUAUCAACAUACCGCGGUGAAUAUGUCCCUGCUCCUUGCACACACCGCCCGU
rnacentral:rRNA from 1 species